GACGAACGCUGGCGGCGUGCUUAACACAUGCAAGUCGAACGGAAAGGCCCUGCUUUUGUGGGGUGCUCGAGUGGCGAACGGGUGAGUAACACGUGAGUAACCUGCCCUUGACUUUGGGAUAACUUCAGGAAACUGGGGCUAAUACCGGAUAGGAGCUCCUGCUGCAUGGGGGGGGUUGGAAAGUUUCGGCGGUUGGGGAUGGACUCGCGGCUUAUCAGCUUGUUGGUGGGGUAGUGGCUUACCAAGGCUUUGACGGGUAGCCGGCCUGAGAGGGUGACCGGCCACAUUGGGACUGAGAUACGGCCCAGACGCCUACGGGAGGCAGCAGUGGGGAAUAUUGCACAAUGGGCGGAAGCGUGAUGCAGAAACGCCGCGUGCGGGAUGACGGCCUUCGGGUUGUAAACCGCUUUCGCCUGUGACGAAGCGUGAGUGACGGUAAUGGGUAAAGAAGCACCGGCUAACUACGUG
rnacentral:rRNA from 1 species